rnacentral:rRNA from 1 species
AACCUGCCUUUAGGACGGGGACAACAGUUGGAAACGGCUGCUAAAACCCGAUGUGCCCUUCGGGGUGAAAUAUUUAUAGCCUGAAGAUGAGCUCGCGUCUGAUUAGCUAGUAGGUGAGGUAAAGGCUCACCUAGGCGACGAUCAGUAACUGGUCUGAGAGGAUGACCAGUCACACUGGGACUGAGACACGGCCCAGACUCCUACGGGAGGCAGCAGUGGGGAAUUUUCCGCAAUGGGCGCAAGCCUGACGGAGCAAUACCGCGUGAGG